UCCAGGAGCGGGAAUCGAACCCACAACCUUCUGCUUACCGGGCAGGUGCCAUGUCCACUAGGUUG
rnacentral:tRNA from 1 species